CCACUUUCCAUUCUUGUAGAACACUAACGUAAGUGACGGGGCGAGACAACUCCUUCCAUAGACUGCCUACUCCUGGGAAGAGGUCAGCCGGAUUGUGGAGGACGGAGAUCGACGGCCAGGUCCGGACUACAUGAUAAAUGUUUUCAAGGAGUAGACCCGAAACUCGAACCUGUGUCCUCCAGAGUGAAACUUGAAGCGUUUCCAUGAGGCCAAUCCGGCCGACCAUAAACCUGUAUUUAAAAUGUGAAGUAACAAUUACUAAUGUUUAUAAAAGAAAAGACUAACUCUUAAUCCAUGAGUAUAAUUUUUAGUGAACCCGAAUAUUUUUAUUUGAAACUCGAAGUCUUCGGGUAAAAAUGACAUUGUUGGCAACCCUACUCCAGAUUCAAGUCUCGGAUCCCAGCCUUUGAAAAUUUUUAUCAUGGAGCUCGAGUUUGUCCCGUCGAUCCCUUUUCUUCAUAAUCUAGCUGACCUCUCUGCAAGAGUGGGCAGCUUGUGGAAGACUUGUUCUCCCCGCUAUUUAGAAAGGGGGGAGCUAAGAGACGGGCGUAAAAGAAAGGGAAAGAGCAGUCGGAUUGUGGAGGAAAUGAAAUCGACGGGCUGAAAAUAGACCCCACGAUAAACAUUUUCAAGGGAGUAGGACAUGAGAUUCGAUCCCGGUUCCUCCAGAGUGGAAAGCAAAAGCGUUUUCACACGGCUAAUUCGGUCAACUGUCGACUCCACAUUUGGAUUGAACUAUAAUGACGUCAUAAUUAUACUCCAAGAAUUUAUCGCUAUGGCAUUCAACUUUCCAAUUUCAUUUAGUAGCAUUUAUAAAUGCAAAAUAUUGUUUACAGGGCCGCACCAUUCAUAGAGACAAGGCGUGUGGCGCACAAUCGUCUAAAGGUGUAGCGAAGUAUUAAAAUUUUACAAAUUUUGAAAAAGUUAUUUUUUAGUAUAAAAAUAUUUGAUAUAACACGCAAUGGCGUUCCCAGAGGGGCCGGUUUCCUCAGGCACCAAGUUAAAUAAGCAAGAGCAUGGAAUAUCAUUAUUAUUCACUAAAUAUUUGUAUAAAAAAUUUGUAUCAUUUUCAGUUCUUAAAAAGAUUAUUUAAGAAAAUG
rnacentral:lncRNA from 1 species